rnacentral:rRNA from 1 species
UACGUAGGGUGCAAGCGUUGUCCGGAAUUAUUGGGCGUAAAGAGCUCGUAGGCGGUUUGUCGCGUCUGCUGUGAAAAACCCGAGGCUCAACCUCGGGCCUGCAGUGGGUACGGGCAGACUAGAGUGCGGUAGGGGAGAAUGGAAUUCCUGGUGUAGCGGUGGAAUGCGCAGAUAUCAGGAGGAACACCGAUGGCGAAGGCGGCGAUCUGGGUCGAUACUGACGCUGAGGUGCGAAAGCGUGGGGAGCAAACAGG